rnacentral:rRNA from 1 species
GACGAACGCUGGCGGCGUGCUUAACACAUGCAAGUCGAACGGAAAGGCCCUGCUUUUGUGGGGUGCUCGAGUGGCGAACGGGUGAGUAACACGUGAGUAACCUGCCCUUGACUUUGGGAUAACUUCAGGAAACUGGGGCUAAUACCGGAUAGGAGCUCCUGCUGCAUGGUGGGGGUUGGAAAGUUUCGGCGGUUGGGGAUGGACUCGCGGCUUAUCAGCUUGUUGGUUGGGUAGUGGCUUACCAAGGCUUUGACGGGUAGCCGGCCUGAGAGGGUGACCGGCCACAUUGGGACUGAGAUACGGACCAGACUCCUACGGGAGGCAGCAGUGGGGAAUAUUGCACAAUGGGCGGAAGCCUGAGGCAGCAACGCCGCGUGCGGGAUGCCGGCCUUCGGGUUGUAAACCGCUUUCGCCUGUGACGAAGCGUGAGUGACGGUAAUGGGUAAAGAAGCACCGGCUAACUACGUG